UGGUACCCACAGAAGAAGUCCUGGCUAACUCCGUGCCAGCAGCCGCGGUAAUACGGAGAGGGCUAGCGUUAUUCGGAAUUAUUGGGCGUAAAGAGCGCGUAGGCUGGUUAGUAAGUUAAAAGUGAAAUCCCAGAGCUCAACUUUGGAAUUGCUUUUAAAACUGCUAACCUAGAGAUUGAAAGAGGAUAGAGGAAUUCCUAGUGUAGAGGUGGAAUUCGUAAAUAUUAGGAGAACACCAGUGGCGAAGGCGUCUAUCUGGUUCAAAUCUGACGCUGAGGCGCGAAGGCGUGGGGAGCAAACAGGAUUAGAUACCCUGGUAGUCCACGCUGUAAACGAUGAGUGCAA
rnacentral:rRNA from 1 species